GGGUGUGAGGGUGAGCUGAAUGCAGAAGGUCAUAAUGCCUGUUAUCAGAAGUGACUGCCUGUCAGAGCAUCCCCUGCCUCUCCUAUUGAUCCAUUUGCCUCCUGGAGCACUUGCUUGGUCAGAGAGCACGCCUUCUUGAUAGGAGAGGACCACUCUCUGGUCAGCUGUCUACGUGUAGCUGAGCUCCCUGCUAGACUAGCCUAAGGCGGACGUUCGCAGUGCAAGUGCUGGGAAGAUGCCAGGGGAUGAGAAGCACCUCACCUCCAACGAUCACAAAUUGUAAUCGCAGCCCCUU
rnacentral:sRNA from 1 species